CCUACGGGAGGCAGCAGUGAGGAAUUUUCCGCAAUGGGCGAAAGCCUGACGGAGCAAUACCGCGUGAGGGAUGAAGGAUUUUGGUCUGUAAACCUCUUUUCUCAAGAAAGAAGUUCUGACGGUACUUGAGGAAUAAGCAUCGGCUAACUCCGUGCCAGCAGCCGCGGUAAUACGGGGGAUGCAAGCGUUAUCCGGAAUGAUUGGGCGUAAAGCGCCUGUAGGAUGUUUAUUAAGUCCGUUGUUAAAGCCUAGGGCUUAACCCUAGAAAAGCAAUGGAAACUAGUAGACUAGAGUAUGGCAGGGGUAGAGGGAAUUUCUAGUGUAGCGGUGAAAUGCGUAGAUAUUAGAAAGAACACCGGUGGCGAAAGCGCUCUACUGGACCAUUACUGACACUCAGAGGCGAAAGCUAGGGUAGCAAAAGGGAUUAGAUACCCCUGUAGUCCUAGCCGUAAACGAUGGAUACUAGAUGUUGUGCAUUAUGUACAGUAUCGUAGCUAACGCGUUAAGUAUCCCGCCUGGGGAGUACGCUCGCAAGGGUGAAACUCAAAGUAUAGUACGGACGUGUAGACGUGCGACGACGACACGACGGGAGGAG
rnacentral:rRNA from 1 species